UGGGGCAUAUGGAGAUAGAAUCCUAGUCCAACUAGGAUUCUUUUAAGUGCUGAUUUAAAUCUAAUUUAAUCCUAACCAAAUUAGAAUUAGGUUGCAUCCAAAAUAAGUUAAUUCUUAGUCUAAUUUAAAACUCAAUUAAAUCUGAAUUAAAUCUUAAUCUAAUUAAAAAAUUAAUUGAAUCAAGUUCUAGUCAAAUUAGGAAUUGAUCUCUUUAUGUAAUUGGGUUA
rnacentral:lncRNA from 1 species